rnacentral:rRNA from 1 species
GACGAACGCUGGCGGCGUGCUUAACACAUGCAAGUCGAACGAAGUGGCGAACGGGUGAGUAACGCGUAAUCAACCUGCCCUUCAGAGGGGGACAACAGUUGGAAACGACUGCUAAUACCGCAUACUGAGGGAGGGGAUUGCGUCUGAUUAGCUAGUUGGAGGGGUAAAGGCCACCCAAGGCGAUGAUCAGUAGGCGGGCUGGGAGGAUGAACGACCACAUUGGGACUGGGACACGGCCCAGACUCCAACGGGAGGCAGCAGGGGGGGAUCUUCCGAAAUGGAGGAAAGGCUGACGGAGCAACGCCGCGUGAGUGAUGACGGCCUUCGGGUUGUAAAGCUCUGUUAAUCGGGACGCGGUACCGGAAUAGAAAGCCACGGCUAACUCCGUGCCAGCAGCCGCGGUAAUUC